UACGGGGGGGGCAAGCGUUGUUCGGAAUUACUGGGCGUAAAGGGUUCGUAGGUGGCCGACUAAGUCAGACGUGAAAUCCCUCAGCUUAACUGGGGAACUGCGUCUGAGACUGGUCGGCUUGAGGACAGGAGAGGAACGCGGAAUUCCAGGUGUAGCGGUGAAAUGCGUAGAUAUCUGGAGGAACACCGGUGGCGAAGGCGGCGUUCUGGACUGUUUCUGACACUGAUGAACGAAAGCCAGGGGAGCAAACGGG
rnacentral:rRNA from 1 species